rnacentral:rRNA from 1 species
UACGUAGGGGGCGAGCGUUGUCCGGAUUUAUUGGGCGUAAAGAGCGUGUAGGCGGUUCGGUAAGUCUGUCGUGAAAUCCUGAGGCUCAACCUCGGACGUGCGAUGGAUACUGCCGGGCUAGAGGAUGGUAGAGGCGAGUGGAAUUCCCGGUGUAGCGGUGAAAUGCGCAGAUAUCGGGAGGAACACCUGAGGUGAAGACGGGUUGCUGGGUCGACACUGACGCUGAAGCGCAAAAGCCAGGGGAGCAAACGGG